rnacentral:rRNA from 1 species
GAUGAACGCUGGCGGCGUGCCUAAUACAUGCAAGUCGAGCGAACAGACGAGGAGCUUGCUCCUCUGACGUUAGCGGCGGACGGGUGAGUAACACGUGGAUAACCUACCUAUAAGACUGGGAUAACUUCGGGAAACCGGAGCUAAUACCGGAUAACAUGUUGAACCGCAUGGUUCAACAGUGAAAGACGGUCUUGCUGUCACUUAUAGAUGGAUCCGCGCCGCAUUAGCUAGUUGGUAAGGUAACGGCUUACCAAGGCAACGAUGCGUAGCCGACCUGAGAGGGUGAUCGGCCACACUGGAACUGAGACACGGUCCAGACUCCGACGGGAGGCAGCAGUAGGGAAUCUUCCGCAAUGGGCGAAAGCCUGACGGAGCAACGCCGCGUGAGUGAAGAAGGUCUUCGGAUCGUAAAACUCUGUUAUUAGGGAAGAACAAAUGUGUAGUAACUAUGCACGUCUUGACGGUACCUAAUCAGAAAGCCACGGCUAACUACGUG